GACGAACCGUACGAACGUUAUUCGGAAUUACUGGGCUUAAAGGGUGCGUAGGCUGUGCGGAAAGUUGGGCGUGAAAUACCUCAGCUUAACUGAGGAACUGCGUUCAAAACUACCGUGCUUGAGGGAGACAGAGGUAAGCGGAACUGAGGGUGGAGCGGUGAAAUGCGUUGAUAUCCUCAGGAACACCGGUGGCGAAAGCGGCUUACUGGGUCUCUUCUGACGCUGAUGCACGAAAGCUAGGGGUAGCAAACGGG
rnacentral:rRNA from 1 species